rnacentral:rRNA from 1 species
AUUGAACGCUGGCGGAAUGCUUUACACAUGCAAGUCGAACGGUAGAGGGGGCAACCCCUCGAGAGUGGCGAACGGGUGAGUAAUAUAUCGGAACGUGCCCAGUCGUGGGGGAUAACGUAGCGAAAGUUACGCUAAUACCGCAUACGAACUAAGGAUGAAAGCGGGGGAUCGCAAGACCUCGCGCGAUUGGAGCGGCCGAUAUCAGAUUAGGCAGUUGGUGGGGUAAAGGUUCACCAAGGCAACGAUCUGUAGCUUGUCUGAGAGGACGACCAGCCACACUGGAAAUGAGACACGGUCCAGACUCCUACGGGAGGCAGCAGUGGGGAAUUUUGGACAAUGGACGCAAGUCUGAUCCAGCCAUUCCGCGUGCAGGAUGAAGGCCCUCGGGUUGUAAACUGCUUUUGUACGGAACGAAAAGGUCUCUCUUAGUACGGGGGGCUCAUGAUGGUACCGUAAGAAUAAGCACCGGCUAACUACGUGCCAGCAGCCGCGGUAA